rnacentral:rRNA from 1 species
AGCGAACGCUGGCGGCAGGCCUAAAACAUGCAAGUCGAACGCCGUAGCAAUACGGAGUGGCAGACGGGUGAGUAACACGUGGGAACGUACCCUUUGGUUCGGAACAACACAGGGAAACUUGUGCUAAUACCGGAUAAGCCCUUACGGGGAAAGAUUUAUCGCCAAAGGAUCGGCCCGCGUCUGAUUAGCUUGUUGGUGAGGUAACGGCUCACCAAGGCUACGAUCAGUAGCUGGUCUGAGAGGANGAUCAGCCACACUGGGACUGAGACACGGCCCAGACUCCUACGGGAGGCAGCAGUUAGGAAUCUUGGACAAUGGGCGCAAGCCUGAUCCAGCCAUGCCGCGUGAGUGAUGAAGGCCUUAGGGUUGUAAAGCUCUUUCAGCGGGAAGAUAAUGACGGUA